rnacentral:rRNA from 1 species
UACGUAGGGGGCAAGCGUUAUCCGGAUUUACUGGGUGUAAAGGGAGCGUAGGCGGCGAUGCAAGUCAGAAGUGAAAGCCCGGGGCUCAACCCCGGGACUGCAUUGGAAACUGUCGCGCUCGAGUGUCGGAGAGGUAAGCGGAAUUCCUAGUGUAGCGGUGAAAUGCGUAGAUAUUAGGAGGAACACCAGUGGCGAAGGCGGCUUACUGGACUGUAACUGACGUUGAGGCUCGAAAGCGUGGGGAGCAAACAGG